rnacentral:misc_RNA from 1 species
GAUGAAGAACGCAGCGAAAUGCGAUACGUAAUGUGAAUUGCAAAUUCAGUGAAUCAUCGAGUCUUUGAACGCACAUUGCGCCCCCUGGUAUUCCGGGGGGCAUGCCUGUCCGAGCGUCAUUGCUGCCCUCAAGCACGGCUUGUGUGUUGGGCCCCGUCCUCCGAUCCCGGGGGACGGGCCCGAAAGGCAGCGGCGGCACCGCGUCCGGUCCUCGAGCGUAUGGGGCUUUGUCACCCGCUCUGUAGGCCCGGCCGGCGCUUGCCGAUCAACCCAAAUUUUUAUCCAGGUUGACCUCGGAUCAGGUAGGGAUACCCGCUGAACUUAAGCAUAUCAAUAAGCGGAGG